AAUUUUGGACAAUGGGGGAAACCCUGAUCCAGCCAUCCCGCGUGUAUGAUGAAGGCCUUCGGGUUGUAAAGACCUUUGGGCGGAGAGGAAAAGUUAUUUCUUAUUCCGAGUUACUGCGGACGUAAUCUGCAGAUUAGGCACCGGCAAACUCGUUGCCAGCAGCCGCGGUAAUACGUAGGGUGCAAGCGUUAAUCGGAAUUACUGGGCGUAAAGCGUGUGUAGGCGGUUCGGAAAGAAAGAUGUGAAAUCCCAGGGCUCAACCUUGGAACUGCAUUUUUAACUGCCGAGCUAGAGUAUGUCAGAGGGGGGUAGAAUUCCACGUGUAGCAGUGAAAUGCGUAGAUAUGUGGAGGAAUACCGAUGGCGAAGGCAGCCCCCUGGGAUAAUACUGACGCUCAGACACGAAAGCGUGGGGAGCAAA
rnacentral:rRNA from 1 species